GACAGAGGGGGCAAGCGUUGCUCGGAAUCACUGGGCGUAAAGGGCGCGUAGGCGGGAUGGCAAGUCGGUCGUGAAAUCCUUCGGCUCAACCGAAGAACGUCGGCCGAUACUGCCGUUCUUGAGGGAUGCAGAGGAGAUUGGAAUUCCCGGUGUAGCGGUGAAAUGUGUAGAGAUCGGGAGGAACACCGGUGGCGAAGGCGAGUCUCUGGACAGCAACUGACGCUGAGGCACGAAGGCCAGGGGAGCAAACGGG
rnacentral:rRNA from 1 species